GAUGAACGCUGGCGGCGUGCCUAAUACAUGCAAGUCGAGCGAACAGGCGAGGAGCUUGCUCCUCUGACGUUAGCGGCGGACGGGUGAGUAACACGUGGAUAACCUACCUAUAAGACUGGGAUAACUUCGGGAAACCGGAGCUAAUACCGGAUAAUAUAUUGAACCGCAUGGUUCAAUAGUGAAAGACGGUUUUGCUGUCACUUAUAGAUGGAUCCGCGCCGCAUUAGCUAGUUGGUAAGGUAACGGCUUACCAAGGCAACGAUGCGUAGCCGACCUGAGAGGGUGAUCGGCCACACUGGAACUGAGACACGGUCCAGACUCCUACGGGAGGCAGCAGUAGGGAAUCUUCCGCAAUGGGCGAAAGCCUGACGGAGCAACGCCGCGUGAGUGAUGAAGGUCUUCGGAUCGUAAAACUCUGUUAUUAGGGAAGAACAAAUGUGUAAGUAACUAUGCACGUCUUGACGGUACCUAAUCAGAAAGCCACGGCUAACUACGUG
rnacentral:rRNA from 1 species